rnacentral:rRNA from 1 species
UAUGCCUGCCAGUGGA